rnacentral:rRNA from 1 species
GAUGAACGCUAGCUACAGGCUUAACACAUGCAAGUCGAGGGGUAACGAGAGGAAAGCUUGCUUUCCUUGUCGACGACCGGCGCACGGGUGAGUAACGCGUAUCCAACCUGCCCCCAACUAGGGAAUAACCUUGCGAAAGUAAGACUAAUACCCUAUAAUUUCCUCAGAUGACAUCUGACGAGGAAUAAAGAUUUAUCGGUUGUGGAUGGGGAUGCGUCUGAUUAGCUUGUUGGCGGGGUGACGGCCCACCAAGGCAACGAUCAGUGGGGGUUCUGAGAGGAAGGUCCCCCACAUUGGAACUGAGACACGGUCCAAACUCCUACGGGAGGCAGCAGUGAGGAAUAUUGGUCAAUGGGCGGAAGCCUGAACCAGCCAAGUAGCGUGCAGGAUGACGGCCCUAGGGGUUGUAAACUGCUUUUAUACAGGAAUAAAGUUAGCCACGUGUGGUUAUUUGUAGGUACUGUAUGAAUAAGGACCGGCUAAUUCCGUGCCAGCCGCCGCUGUAA